rnacentral:rRNA from 1 species
UACGAAGGGGGCUAGCGUUGCUCGGAAUCACUGGGCGUAAAGCGCACGUAGGCGGCUUUUUAAGUCAGGGGUGAAAUCCUGGAGCUCAACUCCAGAACUGCCUUUGAUACUGAGAAGCUUGAGUCCGGGAGAGGUGAGUGGAACUGCGAGUGUAGAGGUGAAAUUCGUAGAUAUUCGGAAGAACACCAGUGGCGAAGGCGACAUACUGGCUCAUUACUGACGCUGAGGCUCGAAAGCGUGGGGAGCAAACAGG